rnacentral:rRNA from 1 species
AUUGAACGCUGGCGGCGUGCCAACACAUGCAAGUCGAGCGGUAACAGGUGUAGCAAUACAUGCUGACGAGCGGCGAACGGGUGAGUAACGCUUCGGAAUCUGCCCAAUGGUGGGGAACAACCAGCCGAAAGGUUGGCUAAUACCGCAUACGCCCUACGGGGGAAAGCGGGGAGUCGUAAGACCUCGCGCCGAUGGAUGAGCCGAAGCCGGAUUAGCUAGUUGGUAGGGUAACGGCCUACCAAGGCGACGAUCCGUAGCUGGUCUGAGAGG